UACGUAGGGGGCGAGCGUUGUCCGGAGUUACUGGGCGUAAAGGGCGUGCAGGCGGUGCGGUAAGUUUAGCAGUGACAGUCUCGGCUUAACUGGAGAAGGCCGCUGAAAACUGCCUGGACUUGAGGGCCAGAGAGGGACAUAGAAUUCCGGGUGGAGUGGUGAAAUGCGUAGAUAUCCGGAGGAAUACCAAAGGCGAAGGCAGUGUCCUGGCUGGCAACUGACGCUGAGGCGCGAAAGCUAGGGGAGCGAACAGG
rnacentral:rRNA from 1 species